GGAGGGUGGCAACGUUACUCGGAUUCAUUGGGUGUAAAGGGCAAGUAGGCGGUCUGAUAAGUGAGGGGUGAAAUCCUGCGACUCAAUCGCAGAAUUGCCUUUCAAACUAUCAGACUUGAGGCAGGAAGGGAAAAAUGGAAUUCUCGGUGUAAGGGUGAAAUCUGUAGAUAUCGAGAAGAACACCAGCGGCGAAGGCGAUUUUCUGGUCCUGUCCUGACGCUGAAUUGCGAAAGCUAGGGGAGCAAACAGAAUUAGAUACUCUGGUAGUCCUAGCCGUAAACGAUGAGCACUAGGUGUUGSUUCGGGGUCAGUGCCGCMKAACGCAUUAAGUGCUCCACCUGGGGACUAC
rnacentral:rRNA from 1 species